rnacentral:ncRNA from 1 species
UUAGGUAGAGGAGCUGUUAAUAAUAGUAAUUAUGAAGAGUUGGCAAACGAAGAAGCAUAAUGAAAGGGUUAAUAGCCGAAGAAAUAAAUAAAAGCAAGAAUUUAUUUCUGGGGAUGUAUAAAAUAUAUGCAUCACUGUCACGUAAGUGGAGAGCUACA